CAGUCCGCGGCACCAGUCGUGGACAUAGAGAAGACAGCUCAGGCUGGGGCAGCACCUUUGAGGCAGGCGGCCUCCCCACAGAGUGUGACAAGCCCAGCAGGGAUGAUCUAGUCCAACAUUUGCCAUGGGAAACCCGGCAAAGGCUGACUGAUAGCUGCAGCAGACAGAGUUUUCAGAUUGCAAGCAGCAGAAACCAACCUGGUUAACAAGCGGGAAUGCUGAAGAUCAGGGUCAGCUGUCUAAUUAGGAGGAACUGAGAGAAUCUCUUCAGGAUACCAUAAGUCUACUGAUUGUCAGGUUUUUGUCUCUCUGCUCAAGAUUCCUAUUUUAGUGAGUGAACCUUUGUUUGGUCUGUUUCGGGCAGUAGCCACACUUUUGCUGAAGAAGCACAGGUAAAGAAAACAUAAAAUGCACUUCCUUUCUUUUCCCAG
rnacentral:lncRNA from 1 species